CACGUAGGGCGCGAGCGUUGUCCGGAAUUAUUGGGCGUAAAGAGCUCGUAGGCGGCCUGUUGCGUCCGCUGUGAAAGCCCGGGGCUUAACCCCGGGUCGGCAGUGGAUACGGGCAGGCUAGAGGUAGGUAGGGGAGAGUGGAAUUCCCGGUGUAGCGGUGAAAUGCGCAGAUAUCGGGAAGAACACCCGUGGCGAAGGCGGCUCUCUGGGACGGUACUGACGCUGAGACGCGAAAGCGUGGGGAGCGAACAGG
rnacentral:rRNA from 1 species